UACAGAGGUCUCAAGCGUUGUUCGGAUUCAUUGGGCGUAAAGGGUGCGUAGGCGGCGCGGUAAGUCGGGUGUGAAAUCUCGGAGCUUAACUCCGAAACUGCAUUCGAUACUGCCGUGCUUGAGGACUGGAGAGGAGACUGGAAUUUACGGUGUAGCGGUGAAAUGCGUAGAUAUCGUAAGGGAGACCAGUGGCGAAGGCGGGUCUCUGGACAGUUCCUGACGCUGAGGCACGAAGGCCAGGGGAGCAAACGGG
rnacentral:rRNA from 1 species